rnacentral:rRNA from 1 species
UACGAAGGGGGCUAGCGUUGCUCGGAAUCACUGGGCGUAAAGCGCACGUAGGCGGAUCUUUAAGUCAGGGGUGAAAUCCUGGAGCUCAACUCCAGAACUGCCUUUGAUACUGGGGAUCUCGAGUCCGGAAGAGGUGAGUGGAACUCCGAGUGUAGAGGUGAAAUGCGUAGAUAUUGGGAAGAACAUCGGUGGCGAAAGCGCCUUGCUGGGUCUGCACUGACACUGAGGGACGAAAGCUAGGGGAGCGAAAGGG